AUUGAACGCUGGCGGCAGGCCUAACACAUGCAAGUCGAACGGAGUGGCGGACGGGUGAGUCAUGUCUGGGAAACUGCCUGAUGGAGGGGGAUAACUACUGGAAACGGGAGCUAAUAACGCAUACUAUCAGAGGAGCCUCGGUCGGAUUAGCUAGUUGGUGGGGUCAAGGCCUACCAAGGCGACGAUCCGUAACUGGUCUGAGAGGAUGAUCAGUCCAACUGUAACGGAGACCCGGUCCAGACUCCUACGGUGGGCAGCAGUGGGGAAUAUUGGACAAUGGGCGAAAGCCUGAUCCAGCCAUGCCGCGUGUGUGAAGAAGGUCUUCGGAUUGUAAAGCACUUUAAGUUGGGAGGCGUUACCAACAGAAUAAGCACCGGCUAACUUCGUGCCAGCCGCCGCGGUAAUUC
rnacentral:rRNA from 1 species